UACAGAGGUCUCAAGCGUUGUUCGGAUUCAUUGGGCGUAAAGGGUGUGUAGGUGGCGCCGUAAGUCGGGGUGUGAAAUUUCGGAGCUUAACUCCGAAACUGCAUUCGAUACUGCGGUGCUUGAGGACUGGAGAGGAGACUGGAAUUCAUGGUGUAGCAGUGAAAUGCGUAGAGAUCAUGAGGAAGACCAGUGGCGAAGGCGGGUCUCUGGACAGUUCCUGACGCUGAGGCACGAAGGUCAGGGGAGCAAACGGGG
rnacentral:rRNA from 1 species